rnacentral:rRNA from 1 species
AUUGAACGCUGGCGGCAGGCCUAACACAUGCAAGUCGAGCGGAUGAAGGGAGCUUGCUCCUGGAUUCAGCGGCGGACGGGUGAGUAAUGCCCAGGAAUCUGCCUGGUAGUGGGGGAUAACGUCUGGAAACGGGCGCUAAUACUGCAUAAUACGUGAGGGAGAAAGUGGGGGAUCUUCGGACAUCUCGCUAUCAGAUGAGCCUAGGUCGGAGUAGUUAGUUGGUGGGGGAAGGGCCGACCAAGCCGAGGAUCCGUAACUGGUCUGAGAGGAGGAUCAGUCACACUGGAACUUGGACACGGUCCAGACUCCUACGGGAGGCAGCAGUGGGGAAUAUUGGACAGUGGGCGAAAGCCUGAUCCAGCCAUGCCGCGUGUGUGAAGAAGGUCUUCGGAUUGUAAAGCACUUUAAGUUGGGAGAAAGGGCAGUAAGUUAAUACCUUGCUGUUUUGACGUUACCAACAGAAUAAGCACCGGCUAACUUCGUG